GCAGAACGCGAAGAACCUUACCUGGGCUAGAAAGCGCAAGAACCUCGGUGAAAACUGAGGGUGCCCUUCGGGGAACUUGUGAUUAGGUGCUGCAUGGCUGUCGUCAGCUCGUGUCGUGAGAUGUUGGGUUAAGUCCCGCAACGAGCGCAACCCUUGCUGUUAGUUGCCAUCAUUAAGUUGGGCACUCUAACAGGACUGUCGACCUUUAAGUCGGAGGAAGGUGGGGAUGACGUCAAGUCCUCAUGGCCCUUACGUCCAGGGCUACACACGUGCUACAAUGAACGGUACAAAGGGUCGCGAAACCGUGAGGUGGAGCCAAUCCCAAAAAGCCGUUCUCAGUACGGAUAAGAGUCUGCAACUCGACUCUUUGAAGGCGGAAUCGCUAGUAAUCCCUGAUCAGCAUAGCAGGGGUGAAUACGUUCCCGGGUCUUGUACACACCG
rnacentral:rRNA from 1 species